rnacentral:tRNA from 1 species
GCGGACGUAACGAAGCGGUCAAACGUGCUGGAUUUAGACUCCAGUGGCUUAGUGCCUUCGAAGGUUCGAAUCCUUCCGUCCGCA